UACGGAGGGGGCUAGCGUUGUUCGGAAUUACUGGGCGUAAAGCGCGCGUAGGCGGACCUGCAAGUCGGGGGUGAAAUCCCGAGGCUCAACCUCGGAACUGCCUUCGAUACUGGCGACCUUCGAGUCCGGGAGAGGUGAGUGGAACUCCGAGUGUAGAGGUGAAAUUCGUAGAUAUUCGGAAGAACACCAGUGGCGAAGGCGGCUCACUGGCCCGGUACUGACGCUGAGAUACGAAAGCGUGGGGAGCAAACAGG
rnacentral:rRNA from 1 species